UGAGGAAUAUUGGUCAAUGGGCGAGAGCCUGAAACAGCCAUGUCGCGUGAAGGGAGCAUGUCCUAUGGAUUGUAAACUUCUUUUAUACAGGAAUAUAGUGUACUACGUGUAGUAUGUUGUAUGUACUGUAUGAAUAAGGAUCGGCUAACUCCGUGCCAGCAGCCGCGGUAAUACGGAGGAUCCGAACGUUAUCCGGAUUUAUUGGGUUUAAAGGGUGCGUAGGCGGAAUAGCAAGUCAGUGGUGAAAGUUUGCAGCUUAACUGUAAAAUUGCCAUUGAAACUGCUGUUCUUGAGUACAGUAGAGGUAGGCGGAAUGUGUAGUGUAGCGGUGAAAUGCAUAGAUAUUACACAGAACACCGAUUGCGUAGGCAGCUUACUGGAGUGUAACUGACGCUGAGGCACGAUAGCCUGGGGAUCAAACA
rnacentral:rRNA from 1 species